ACAUGCUCUCUCUCUGUUCUUCUCUUCCUCUCUUAAAACACUUCGACCAGAUUUUUUGAGUAACCGAUCUUAAACCUAAACCUAAAGAAGAUACAAAUCCUCCCAUAAUCCACACAAAAAAACUAGAUUUUGCAUCGUUAAUUGGUUACAACUUUCAUGUCUACGGUUCGUAAAUCUGAUUUUAUAAUCGAUUAUAGGAUUUAUUUUCGGAGGAAGAAGAAAUUGUUGCGAAGAAAACCUAACCCCUAAUCUUUUUGCCCCUUUUUAGUGAUUAUAAUCGUUAUGGCCUCUAUUGUCUCUUCCAGCAGGUAAAUCGUUAUGGGAUUUUUGAGAUGGUGCAGGAAUUUUUGCUUGGAUGGACCAAGACAACCAACUGAGCUCGAACUUGGACGAUCUUUUUACCAGGGGAAGUACAUUGCUGGCAUUGCAAAGAAGCUCAAAGAUGUUGAGCUACUGCUUUGGUUGGCUCGUACCAAUAAGAUAUUUUAUUCGAAUUAUAUGGACUAUCUUGAGGUUUGUGUCUUCUAGAUAGGCCAUGGUAUAGGAUGAGUAGACCAUUAAAGGGUUUAGUUUUACUGUAAUGCUCAUGGAUUCCAUUAAAGGACGGGUAGAAUCAAUUUCAUUAAAGGAUGAGAAUAACCAAUGAGUGUACUUCUCUCCCAAUUUUAGGUAGUUCCAAGUUCUUAAGUUGGUGUUCAGUGUACUUCUCUCCCAGUAACUCAUAUGAACCGAUGGUUGUUGUACCAGAUGCAGAACAACUCAAAUCAUAUGAACCGACUAUCUUGAGGUUUGUGUCUUCUAGAUAGGCCAUGGUCUAGGAUGAGUAGACCAUUAAAGGGUUUAGUUUUACUGAAAUGCUCAUGGAUUCCAUUAAAGGACGGGUAGAAUCAAUUUCAUUAAAGGAUGAGAAUCACCAAUGAGUGUACUUCUCUCCCAAUUUUAGGUAGUUCCAAGUUCUUAAGUUGAUGUUCAGUGUACUUCUCUCCCAGUAACUCAUAUGAACCGAUGGUUGUUGUACCAGAUGUUGAACAACUCAAAUCACCCGAGAAAUAGAAGACCAAAAAGAGCGCAGAUAUAGCAUUACCAUGAGCAACUCUCAGAUUUUCAUUCACAUAAACCAACUUUAAACUAAGUUUUAUUCAAGCAUUAAGGUGUGUAGUUUGAAGUUUAAACUAAGUUUUAUUCAAGCAUUAAGGUGUGUAGUUUGAAGUUGAAACUGAAGUUAAUUUUUUUUUGAAUUGUGUAUAAUGUUUUUAUUUUCGUCAUAAAUCACUAUUAUUGUCCAUGCAAGUCUUGAAUUUGAAUUGAUCCAAGUUUGAUUGAGUGAUCUUAAACACGUCCAUAAUGUAGAGUGAGUGGGUCGUUUUAGUAGAUUAGUACCGAUUGAGAUUUUCAUUGAGACAGCAGUGUUUUCAUUUGAAUGAGAAAGUAAAAAGAUUAUUUGAUAAUGCGUUGUUUAAAGCGCCCAUUGCGUAUUGAAAGAUUCUUAUUUGCAUAAUGAUGUGCCCGUUGCGUAUUGAACAUAUCAUUUUGCCAUGUUCUUAUUUUUUGGGAUAGCAUUUGUCCUUCUACAAUCACAUCCAGUAGUUAUAGGUUGGGGAAAGAAAGGCCACUACAUAGAUUAUAAGUUAGCCAAGGUGAGUCAGAUAUCCUUCAUUAGUCUUUCCGGCAUUUUAUGACGAUGACUUACUAUUUGUAACUGCCAAAAUGUUUUUGAAAGAGUAAAGAGCAUCAUCGAGGUAAUCCAUGUUUGGAUGAUUUCAGGGGCAACUUACUGAAGAUGAAAAUGUUGCUCACUGAGAUUGCUACAUGUGAACUUGCUAUUGUAUGCUCAUGGCUUAGAAUAAAUCUUCGCCAGAUAUUAGGUAUCAAUGAUCUAUCUGUGAUGGUGCACAAUCUCUAAGAAGUUCCGACUAACAAUUUAUCUACAAUUUUACUCUGCUGAUCAUGUCUAACAUUGUAUUUAAGAUUUGGAUGAAGAACAAACUUUGAACGGCAUAAUAUUAGUUUAGUUUACAUUUUAAUGUGUGAUGGAUAUCACAUAACACAACCUUUAGAAUUAAAGAAAAUGCUUGCAUGGAUUCUGUUAUGACAGAAUUAGUUUUAUUAUAUGCUUCAGAAACAUCUCAAAAACAGUUUAUGAGCACAUGAUUAUAUUGGACUCUUUUUUCUAUUAUUUUUUUGAAGGUAAAAAAAAAAAAUAGAAAAAGGAGUCCGAUAUAAUCCUGUGAUCAUAAACUGGAUUUAUAGGCUGAGUGACCUUGAGUUCAUUUACAGUUAAGUAAUGUGUGUGGGUUUCUUCUUUGCUUACCCGAGAAAUAUAUAUUGUCUGAUAAUGCGUAACUGAGAAUUUGCCAUUUGAUUCAUCUCUAGAAAAAAUUGGUUAGUCUGAUGUGUUAAUUUCUUUUCCCUCGCAUUGUUUCUCGGGAUUCAUUGGUUCUUUCAUAGUAAAUAUCAGCUGGGCUUGGCUCAAGUUCUCCCUCCACUCAUUUUCGCUAAUCUCCAUUUUCUCUAAUUAAAAUAUGAUGCUCUUUCUCUCUAUAUGUGCAGGUUGUUGACACAUUUCUUCACCAUACCGAGGGUAUUUCGUCAGCCGGAAGUUCGUGGAAUUGCCUACUUCAGAUUUAUCAUAGGAUGUAGUUCCUAUUAAGGUAUUUUUAGUUAAACUUUGACCUUUGAUCUUACUGGAGGAGAUGGAUUGUACUGCAUAUACAGUUCGUGGAAAUGCCUACUUCAGAUUUAUCAUAGGAUGCAGUUCCUAUUAAGAUGUUACACAUGUGUUGUUUGACCUUGAGCUUACGAUUCAAAGAGUGAAAGUGAUAGCAACUCCUGAUGACAAACAAAGUCAUGGACCGUUCUUCGUUGUCGCAGACACAUUUUCAGUUUUUCUCAUAAUCUGGUAAAUGAUGUUUAUCGUGCAAGCAUGGUCCAUUUAAUCGAGUUUCAAUUUGUAACUUUCAAAGUUAAAACAUCAUUUGGUCAUUUUAACUAUGUAAAUACAUCGGCAAAAGAUAUAAAGCUUUGAUUCGUGGUGUUUGCUACUUUUGGGUUGCAAGCAUUAUACUUUUGUGAGUCUUGCAUUUGGGUUUUGCACUUCAAACACAUACAUUGUUACUUCCAAAAGAAUUUUGCAGGCUUGGGGGAGGUGUUCUUGGAUGCCCAGCAUUCAAUUCAAGUUUCAGAGCUACACACGGUAGUUUAUCACUGAACAUAUGUAAGUUCAUUCUGCUAAUUUUUAUGUAGUUAUAAGAUGUUCAGUAAGUGUGUAUGGUUUAACUGUACCUAGAGUUUUCAUUUGUGUUUUGUUUACUGGGUAAAGUUAUCUCCUAAUUUGUUCCACGUAUGAUUGUGUUAGUUGUUUGUUGGUACUUUUACAGUAACGUAUUGUCGUAAGGGUUUGCUCAGAUUACCAUGCGGAGAGUUCCUUAAAUGCCCAAUUGGCAUGUUAUUGUAACAUAUAACUUAACUUCCUUACUGAACCUAUAAAGCAGCAUAUAUAGAAUAUUCAUCCGCUUGAGGACAUUAAUGCUUCUGAGAACGUGAUAGUUCUAAGACUGAGUAUGCUUUUGAAACAAUUUCCAUAUCGUGUUAUCCUUGCCGCUUUUGACUCGGAGAACCCUUACAGCUGGGAAACAUUCAACUGCGUUGCUACUUCUGUUCUCUUGAACGUAUUGAGUAUUACUCUUCCGAUGCAACGAUAAUAGACUUGCAGAGUGGGGAGAUUUAUGUGGAUAAUUUUAUCUUGAGGUAAGAGGCGGAGAGAUAGAGAGUGAGCUAUUGCAGCAAGAGGAACUCUCUUUCCCUUGCACGCGUGAUAGUUUCCUAGGCUACACCUGAUCAUAGGGUGGUGCGCAGCAAAAUUAUUUGAUUUUAUGUGAUCUCCGCUGAUUCUCUCCAUUUUUCUUUUUGCUUUGUUUUAAUAGUUGCUGAUUCUGCAGGCUUUGUUCAAAGUGUGGUUUCUGUUGUCCACUUUAAAGUGAUGGUGCCUUGAGAUAUCAGACGGUAAGGAUCUUCAAUGCGUUUCAAAUUUACAAGGUUGCGAUUGUAGGAUAUGUGAGAAUAUCGCGAUUGUACUUUGUGGACAAAAGUUUAAUGCCAAGAACAAGUACGUGAAAGCAAGAAAGCAAAUCAGGUUACUUUUGAUGGGAAGAAAUAUCCAAUACUAUGAGAGUCCUACAAAGAGUAAUUGCAAAUCGUGCUUGCCAUUUGAUUUUGCUAGAUUUGUUUAGCGACUAAAUAGCGUAUUAUGUUGAUAUUGUGAUUAUUUUUGCAAAUUUUUAGCCAGUGGGAUCAAGACUUCUUAGCAUUUGUGCAUUGAGAAGGUAUAUAUAAGGUGUGCAGGAAGUGGUUGAGCACAUGGUGAGUGAUCCACCAUAGAGGUUGUCGUUCAAAUGAACUUAGAGGUAUGUUGUAUUGUAUAAAGAGUGAUUAAUUGCUUUUCCA